AUUGAACGCUGGCGGCAUGCCUUACACAUGCAAGUCGAACGGUAACAGGUCUUCGGAUGCUGACGAGUGGCGAACGGGUGAGUAAUACAUCGGAACGUGCCCGAUCGUGGGGGAUAACGAAGCGAAAGCUUUGCUAAUACCGCAUACGAUCUACGGAUGAAAGCAGGGGACCGCAAGGCCUUGCGCGAACGGAGCGGCCGGUGGCAGAUUAGGUAGUUGGUGGGAUAAAAGCUUACCAAGCCGACGAUCUGUAGCUGGUCUGAGAGGACGACCAGCCACACUGGGACUGAGACACGGCCCAGACUCCUACGGGAGGCAGCAGUGGGGAAUUUUGGACAAUGGGCGAAAGCCUGAUCCAGUCAUGCCGCGUGCAGGAUGAAGGCCUUCGGGUUGUAAACUGCUUUUGUACGGAACGAAAAGACUCUGGUUAAUACCUGGGGUCCAUGACGGUACCGUAAGAAUAAGCACCGGCUAACUACGUG
rnacentral:rRNA from 1 species